rnacentral:rRNA from 1 species
GAUGAACGCUGGCGGCGUGCCUAAUACAUGCAAGUCGAGCGAACGGACGAGAAGCUUGCUUCUCUGAUGUUAGCGGCGGACGGGCGAGUAACACGUGGAUAACCUACCUAUAAGACUGGGAUAACUUCGGAAAACCGGAGCUAAUACCGGAUAAUAUUUUGAACCGCAUGGUUCAAAAGUGAAAGACGGUCUUGCUGUCACUUAUAGAUGGAUCCGCGCUGCAUUAGCUAGUUGGUAAGGUAACGGCUUACCAAGGCAACGAUGCAUAGCCGACCUGAGAGGGUGAUCGGCCACACUGGAACUGAGACACGGUCCAGACUCCUACGGGAGGCAGCAGUAGGGAAUCUUCCGCAAUGGGCGAAAGCCUGACGGAGCAACGCCGCGUGAGUGAUGAAGGUCUUCGGAUCGUAAAACUCUGUUAUUAGGGAAGAACAUAUGUGUAAGUAACUGUGCACAUCUUGACGGUACCUAAUCAGAAAGCCACGGCUAACUACGUG